AGAGUUUGAUCCUGGCUCAGGAUGAACGCUAGCGGCAGGCUUAACACAUGCAAGUCGAGGGGCAGCGGGGAGGAAGCUUGCUUUCUCCGCCGGCGACCGGCGCACGGGUGAGUAACACGUAUGCAACCUGCCCCUGUCAGGGGGACAACCCGCCGAAAGGCGGGCUAAACCCGCGUACAUGCCACCGGGGCAUCCCGGAGGCAGGAAAGGCUUCGGCCGGACAGGGAUGGGCAUGCGGCGCAUUAGGCAGUAGGCGGGGUAACGGCCCACCUAACCGACGAUGCGUAGGGGUUCUGAGAGGAAGGUCCCCCACACUGGUACUGAGACACGGACCAGACUCCUACGGGAGGCAGCAGUGAGGAAUAUUGGUCAAUGGUCGGGAGACUGAACCAGCCAAGCCGCGUGAGGGAUGAAGGUACAGAGUAUCGUAAACCUCUUUUGUCAGGGAACAAAGGCGGGGACGCGUCCCCGGAUGAGUAUACCUGAAGAAAAAGCAUCGGCUAACUCCGUGCCAGCAGCCGCGGUAAUACGGAGGAUGCGAGCGUUAUCCGGAUUUAUUGGGUUUAAAGGGUGCGCAGGCGGUCUGUUAAGUCAGCGGUCAAAGCCCGGGGCUCAACCCCGGCCCGCCGUUGAAACUGGCAGUCUCGAGUUGGAGAGAAGUAUGCGGAAUGCGCGGUGUAGCGGUGAAAUGCAUAGAUAUCGCGCAGAACUCCGAUUGCGAAGGCAGCAUGCCGGCUCCACACUGACGCUGAGGCACGAAAGCGUGGGUAUCGAACAGGAUUAGAUACCCUGGUAGUCCACGCAGUAAACGAUGAAUGCUGGCUGUCCGGGGGGACUGACCCCUGGGUGGCGAAGCGAAAAGCGAUAAGCAUUCCACCUGGGGAGUACGCCGGCAACGGUGAAACUCAAAGGAAUUGACGGGGGCCCGCACAAGCGGAGGAACAUGUGGUUUAAUUCGAUGAUACGCGAGGAACCUUACCCGGGCUCAAACGGGGAGUGACUCAGGCAGAGACGCCUGUUUCCCACGGGACACUCCCCGAGGUGCUGCAUGGUUGUCGUCAGCUCGUGCCGUUAGGUGUCGGCUUAAGUGCCAUAACGAGCGCAACCCCCGCGUGCAGUUGCUAACAGAUAACGCUGAGGACUCUGCACGGACUGCCGGCGCAAGCCGCGAGGAAGGCGGGGAUGACGUCAAAUCAGCACGGCCCUUACGUCCGGGGCGACACACGUGUUACAAUGGGUGGUACAGCGGGAAGCCAGGCGGCGACGCCGAGCGGAACCCGAAAUCCACUCUCAGUUCGGAUCGGAGUCUGCAACCCGACUCCGUGAAGCUGGAUUCGCUAGUAAUCGCGCAUCAGCCAUGGCGCGGUGAAUACGUUCCCGGGCCUUGCACACACCGCCCGUCA
rnacentral:rRNA from 1 species